UGGCUUAUGAUUAAAUUUGUUUGUUAGCUGGGCACUGAGUGUAUUCUAUCACCAGUGAGGUAAUCCUCACAGCACAUUCCACGUUCCUGGAAAACUACUGGCCUUCUGGGCUGCCAUGUGUUUAUCCAGCAUAGGUUGUGUGGCACAGCACAGUUAUGAACACCACAAAAUUGAGCUGGAAAUCUCUAUGAGAUGAGAAGAAGCAUGACUCACUUCUCCCUGCCCUAGGGAUUACUUCUAGCUUUCAUUUUGAGGAACAUAUUCUCUUUGCUGCCCGAGUUCUUCUUUUUCAUAUACUGGAAACCAGUACUUAGGGAAGGGAUUAACUUUGUGCUUUGGAAUGCCUGUCAAGGAGAGAACUAACAUACAACACCAAAGACUGAGACACUAGUCUGAGAUCAGUGGGCAAGCCAGAUGAGCUCUUCUUUGGCUGAGUAACCCCAUUUUUGAAGCUGAUACUGUUGCAAUGAAAGACUACCACCGGCUGGCUGGUUCGCUCUGUAAGUAAGGCUUUUCCCUAUUAAAUGCCCUUAUAUUUCUACCUGACUCCGUAUUGGUGAUUCCCCACUAUAUCUGGUGUCAGAAGUGGGAUAUUGGAAACCUACACCCCAUUUGGGACAGGCUGUGGGUUCCAUCGGGCCUGAGGCCUAGGCCCGGAAAGCACCCUCUCUCCACAGGUGUUCCCGGCUAGCAGCCGACCCACUGCAGCUGAGCUGCUCAGAACCAUCUACCCAGCUCAGAGAAACUGGCUGCUGCUGCGGGAAAGCCGCAAAGCCGUAUACUCUCUAAGAUAAGCGCAACCGCUUUUGUGACCUCUCUCCACCGCUGACCGACUGCUGCCAAACGCCUCGGAAUAACUGAACGCCUGUGCUACCUGCUGGUCAAAUAUAUUUACUGCAUCUGGAGUAGAAAUCAGGUAAAAUUAUGGCGGAAUAUUUAUCAUUUGCUAAAAUUGGUAAUGUUUUUGCUUAUUACGUGAAUUCACUGUUUGAGGAGGAUGCUAAUUUGCCAAUUACUGGCCUAUAUGCUGUAAUGGCAGUUAGCUUGCUGGUACAAAUAGUAUUACUAGCCAGAGGACUCAGGAACAGGGACAGAAAUAACCUCACCACCUGCUUGCAGGAAAUAACAGCUUUACGCAAUGAGGUUUUGGAAAACAGAUUAGGUCAGACCACAAUUGUGCAGCAAGUGGAACAGAAAUUGGAUGAUAAGCUUGGCUCUGUGUCCAAUACACUAAAGACAGAGCUGUCUGAUGAGAUGCAGCUUAUUUAUGAUAAGAUAAACACAGAGAGAUCCUCCAUGUCUGAGGCCUUAGAGGCUAGGCUGUCAGAAGACCAUGACCAGCUAAAGAAUAUCUGUAGCCAGCUAGAAACUCAGAUAGGCAAUGUUACUCAUCAACUAGAUGCAACGGUGCAAAAUACCCAGCAUAGGGUUGAAGAAUUGGACAAUGCCAUUCAAUCAGUUAUUGAAGCAUCCAAGGUAGCAGAUCAGAAAUUUGAGUCUAGAUUUGAAUGUUUGGAAGAUAAUUUACAGUACAGGGCUGACAGAUUACAUAGGUCCAUACGGUCGAUUGCUGAGGACUCAAAAUCAGCAAAUCAUGACCUGGAAUCUAGACUCCAAUACCUAGAAGGCAGUUUCCAUGCCAUCCAGAUUCUGCCUAAGGAUGAUCGUAUUAAAGACCUAGAAAAACAUGUAGAUGAGCAGUUAGAGCAAUUUACAGAUUCACUAACAAUCCCAGGCAACUACUCCACCUAGGUAUCAUGACUAUUCUUCUAAGGUUGUUACUCGUACACCAUUAGUGUACCCAGCUACCAUGGUAGAAAAGCCAGCUUCUAAGAAACACCCUCAUGGACGAAUGGUUUAUGAAUGGCAACCUAUACAGCCGAAGGAUCUUAAGAAUAUUAAAGAAUCAGUUGUCUCAUAUGGUCUCCAUAGCCCAUACGUAAAACAGCUAUUACAUUCAUGGGCAACCUUUAACAGAGUGACACCCACAGAUUGGGAACAAUUGGUAGCAGCUGUACUUGAGAAUUCAUGCCAAUUCCAGUGGAAGGCAUUGGUAAGGGAAGAGGCAAAGCUCCUUGAGCGUCAGGGCAUAAAGGAAGGUUUUGAAGCCCCUCUAGAUAAGCUUCUUGGUCAGGGUAUUUAUGCUGACCCACAGGUUCAGGCUGAAUAUGAUGACGAUAUACUGUCUCUAUGCAGGAAAGCAGCAUUAAAUGCCUGGGAUAAGGUUCGUGAGCCAGGAGAACGCCUAGAAGCUUAUACCAGAAUAGAACAGGGACCUACAGAACAGUUCCAGGACUUCUUACAAAGGUUAACUAGGGCAGUAGAAAUACAGGUAACAGAUCCAGAAACAAGACAAUCAAUUAUAUAUACAAUAGCUUAUGAAAAUGCAAACCCUAUAUGCAAAAGAAUACUUUUGCCUUUAAAGAUCAGAUCAGCUCCGCUAGAAGAAUGGGUUUUGUAUGCAGCCAACAUUGACUAUAAUGUGCAAGAUACUGG
ensembl:lncRNA